CAGGGAGACAACAAAAUGUUAAAUAUUAAUUUUGUCACCUUAGGUCGAUCGGUAUCUCACAUUCUUAAUUUAUUAAGGAUUUUAUUUCCUAAGUUUUUUCUAGGUCACACCCAUUAGUUUUCCUGGGCCAUUAGCUCAGGUGGUUAGAGCGCACCCCUGAUAAGGGUGAGGUCCCUGGUUCAAGUCCAGGAUGGCCCAUAUCUCUAUGUUGGGGGUAUAGCUCAGUUGGUAGAGCGCCUGCUUUGCAAGCAGGAUGUCAGCGGUUCGAGUCUGCUUACCUCCACUGAUUACCACCUCUUCCAUAAUUUAUAAAAAGGAAAUGUUUUUUGGUGUGAUCAAAUUCUGAACGAAUCUAGCUUCCUAAUAAAACUUAUUAAGAUGCUGGACUCAUUGAAUUAAAUUCAUUGUUUUCAGAGAACCUUGACAACUGCAUAGAUUAUUUUUAAAGACAAUAAGCAUCUUUAAUGAUGCAGAUUUAUUAUUUGUGCGAAUGCAUUAAUAACAAUUCUAUUAAGCUGAUGCUUCAA
rnacentral:tRNA from 1 species